CAAAAUAGUCGAUUUGUCAUAGAUAUUAGUGAUUAGUCAUACAUUAAAAGUAUUAUGUCACAGAAAUUUCCAGAAAAAAAAAAACAUAUCCGAAGACCAACAGGAUAUAGCUGAGAAAUAUCAACUUUCAUACAUCCAAAAAGACAUCCUAAUAGACGAGACCCAUCAAGUUUGUAUUGUAGGUGGAGCAGUUGAGGAGACAUCAUGUGCUUCUUGUUCCUGAGAAUGUCCUUUCAUGUUGAAACUCCUACACUUGGGUAUGUUCUCUUCAGGCUGCACCCAAAUCAAGUUUAUCAAUGACAACAAAGACAACAAAAAAAAAACAUAACUAUGCUAUGAAAAUGUACUUCAUGAGGAGUCGAGGGCAUUUCCUAGAGUUGUAGCCUUC
rnacentral:lncRNA from 1 species